rnacentral:rRNA from 1 species
GAUGAACGCUGGCGGCGUGCUUAAUACAUGCAAGUCGAACGAGGAGCCUUUGUAGUAAUACAGGGGAUUUCCUAGUGGCGAACGGGUGAGUAACGCGUUGGUGACCUGCCCCGAAGUGUGGGAUAACAGUCCGAAAGGAUUGCUAAUACCUCAUGUGAUCAUAAGGGUUAGAGGCUUUGGGACUAAAGCAGUAAUGCGCUUCGGGAGGGACCUGCGUCCUAUCAGCUAGUUGGUAGGGUAACGGCCUACCAAGGCAAUGACGGGUAGGGGGCCUGAGAGGGUGGCCCCCACAAUGGAACUGAAACACGGUCCAUACACCUACGGGUGGCAGCAGUAUGGAAUAUUGGGCAAUGGGCGAAAGCCUGACCCAGCAACGCCGCGUGUGCGAUGAAGGCCUUCGGGUCGUAAAGCACUUUUCUGGGAGAUGAGAAAGGACAGUAUCCCAGGAAUAAGUCUCGGCUAACUACGUGCCAGCAGCCGCGGUAAGAC